CGAAUACUGAUGAUGAAGAAAAGUAGCCUGUGAGCGGUUUUCAGAGAGUCGGCGCUUGGUGUGAGCCGAUACGGUAAGCAGACGAACUCGCUUCGGAGGUGCGGGAGGGCCCAUCAUUGGGUAUCCCGACGCAGCCCGCGUUACAGGGAUUAAGCGAGCAUGGACGUCUGAUGUCUCAUGCUAAUCUGGGUGGUACCGCGGGAAUAAAACAAGUCAUCAACCUCUCGUCCCUGAC
rnacentral:ncRNA from 1 species